rnacentral:rRNA from 1 species
UACGAAGGGGGCUAGCGUUGCUCGGAAUCACUGGGCGUAAAGGGUGCGUAGGCGGGUCUUUAAGUCAGGGGUGAAAUCCUGGAGCUCAACUCCAGAACUGCCUUUGAUACUGAAGAUCUUGAGUUCGGGAGAGGUGAGUGGAACUGCGAGUGUAGAGGUGAAAAUUCGUAGAUAUUCGCAAGAACACCAGUGGCGAAGGCGGCUAACUGGUCCGGAUCUGACGCUGAGGUGCGAAAGCGUGGGGAGCAAACAGG